rnacentral:rRNA from 1 species
UUGGGAAUCUUGCACAAUGGGGGAAACCCUGAUGCAGCGACGCCGCGUGGAGGACGAAGGGUCUAGGCCUGUAAACUCCUUUUAUCGGGAAAGACUUAGGACGGUACCCGAUGAAUAAGGACCGGCUAACUACGUGCCAGCAGCCGCGGUAAGACGUAGGGUCCAAGCGUUGUCCGGAUUUACUGGGCGUAAAGAGCGCGUAGGCGGCUCGUUAAGUGUAGAGUGAAAUCUCUGGGCUCACCCCAGAAACCGCUGUGCAUACUGGCGAGCUGGAGUGUCGGAGAGGUAUGUGGAAUUCCUGGUGUAGCGGUGAAAUGCGUUGAUAUCAGGAGGAACACCCAUGGCGAAGGCAGCAUACUGGCCGACCACUGACGCUGAGGCGCGAAAGCGUGGGUAGCAAACAG